rnacentral:rRNA from 1 species
UACGUAGGGGGCUAGCGUUGUCCGGAAUCAUUGGGCGUAAAGCGCGUGUAGGCGGUCCGGUAAGUCCGCUGUGAAAGUCGGGGGCUCAACCCUCGGAUGCCGGUGGAUACUGUCGGGCUUGAGUACGGAAGGGGCGAGUGGAAUUCCUGGUGUAGCGGUGAAAUGCGCAGAUAUCAGGAGGAACACCAAUGGCGAAGGCAGCUCGCUGGGACGUGACUGACGCUGAGACGCGAAAGCGUGGGGAGCAAACAGG